rnacentral:rRNA from 1 species
CAGUCGCCGCGGUAAUACGUAGGUCCCGAGCGUUGUCCGGAUUUAUUGGGCGUAAAGCGAGCGCAGGCGGUUAGAUAAGUCUGAAGUUAAAGGCUGUGGCUUAACCAUAGUACGCUUUGGAAACUGUUUAACUUGAGUGCAAGAGGGGAGAGUGGAAUUCCAUGUGUAGCGGUGAAAUGCGUAGAUAUAUGGAGGAACACCAGUGGCGAAGGCGGCUCCCUGGUCUGUAACUGACGCUGAGGCUCGAAAGCGUGGGGAGCAAACAGGAUUAGAUACCCCUGUAGUCCCUGUCUCUUAUACA